UGCGUAGGCGGGAGAAUAAGUCAGUGGUGAAAUCCUGCAGCUUAACUGUAGAACUGCCAUUGAUACUGUUUUUCUUGAGUAUAGUUGAGGUAGGCGGAAUGUGUAAUGUAGCGGUGAAAUGCUUAGAUAUUACACAGAACACCGAUUGCGUAGGCAGCUUACUAAGCUAUUACUGACGCUCAGGCACGAAAGCGUGGGGAGCGAACAGGAUUAGAUACCCUGGUAGUCC
rnacentral:rRNA from 1 species